AAUCCCGCCAGGGGGAGCUGUGUAUAAAAGAGGGCCAUUCUCACUGGUGCAGCCUCUGCCGCUGAGUCUGGAGUAGACCCCGCCCCUGGGCUUUCUCACUUCCUGGUGUGAGCCGUGCGAGCUGUGCUUACCUGUUGGGCUGCGUUUGGGGAUCAAUUCCCCCUUCAUCUGGGUGGCAACUUGCUGCUAGCUGAGUGGCUGUAGGGAGGUUGCAGACUCCCCACCUCUCCUACUGGGCGUGUCAGUUAAAUGUUUGUUUGCCAGGAGCGGCUAAUCUGCCGUGGAGCCCGCCAGCUGUUUUGUCCUUCUGGGUGGCUUCGAAGUCCAGUGUUGGCACGAAUAAAUACGCCUGGACUGCCUCUGCUCCUUGGAAGCCCGCCGUCUGCAGGUUGCUGCACCCCUGUCGACCUGCUGGCUUCCUGACCGAGCUGAUUACACGCUUGUGGGACGCCAGGAAUACACAGAAGCGAUCUGCUUACUUUAUCAUCUUUUCUUUUGAUUAAGUAUAUUUGGGUUAGGUGUUGGUAUAUUUUGUUGUUCUUUUGGUUAUUGUUUCUUUAUUUAAUUGUGUGUUCAUUCUUUGUUAUUUUCCAGUUACCUUUGUUU